AGUUGCUUGCGUUUGGCUGGCCGGCACCUUGACAUGGUGGGGGUCGUUGGUUCGAGUCCAAUUGUGCCUACCA
rnacentral:tRNA from 1 species